UACAGAGGGUGCGAGCGUUGUUCGGAAUUAUUGGGCGUAAAGCGCGUGUAGGCGGCUUUGCAAGUCGGGUGUGAAAGCCCUCAGCUUAACUGAGGAAGUGCGCCCGAAACUGCAGAGCUUGAGUACCGGAGAGGAUGGUGGAAUUCCCCAAGUAGAGGUGAAAUUCGUAGAUAUGGGGAGGAACACCGGUGGCGAAGGCGACCAUCUGGACGGAUACUGACGCUGAGACGCGAAAGCGUGGGUAGCAAACAGG
rnacentral:rRNA from 1 species